rnacentral:rRNA from 1 species
AGUGAACGCUGGCGGUAGGCCUAACACAUGCAAGUCGAACGGCAGCACAGUAAGAGCUUGCUCUUACGGGUGGCGAGUGGCGGACGGGUGAGGAAUACAUCGGAAUCUACUUUUUCGUGGGGGAUAACGUAGGGAAACUUACGCUAAUACCGCAUACGACCUACGGGUGAAAGCAGGGGAUCUUCGGACCUUGCGCGAUUGAAUGAGCCGAUGUCGGAUUAGCUAGUUGGCGGGGUAAAGGCCCACCAAGGCGACGAUCCGUAGCUGGUCUGAGAGGAUGAUCGGACACACUGGAACUGAGACACGGUCCAGACUCCGACGGGAGGCAGCAGUAGGGAUUCUUCCGCAAUGGGCGAAAGCCUGACGGAGCAACUCCGCGUGAGUGAUGAAGGUCUUCGGAUCCUAAAACUCUUUUAUUAGGGAAGAACAAAUGUGUAAGUAUCUAUGCACGUCUGGACGGUACCUAAUCAGAAAGCCACGGCUUACUACGUG